UAAUAACACCGAUGUCAACAGAAGUUUCCUUCUUCGGCCGGGGCACGGAGUAACCCUCACAACAAUGCUAAUAAAGAAGAGCCUGUAAUGGUUUCUCCUGGACCGAGUCCGAUUUCAAGCCUGGGAAAUGGGGAGGACUCCAAGACCUGGAGCUGAUGCUGCUGCCAGAAGAAAAGGUGCCUGUGGAAGCUCCCGCAGCUGAGCAGGAUUGUGUUGGGGACCCCAAUCCUCCGACGGGGUCCCAUGUUUACAACCGUCAUGAGAAGAGCCACGGAUGUGCCACGGGCCCAUGCACAGACUUGCACAGCAUCUUACGUGGUUGUAAGAAGGCAUUUGCCAAAGCCGCAAUCGCACCAGGAAGCCUCAGUUCCCCGCUGUCCCGGCCGGUUUUGCCAGGGAGAGGCAGAGACUGGCUUCGGCUCCCCUUGAGUCCCACUUAAUCUGAGUCUGAAAUCAAACGGGGAGCAGUCGGCUCGGGCCCGGGAGAGCCCGGAGCCUUUGCCGCUCCCUUCAGACGGGGGGCUGGGAAGUGCGAGUGGAGAGCCCCGGGGAGGAGGGU